AAAGAACGGUGCCACUAUUUGGUUAAAAGGGAAAACGGUAAAAAGCCGUUACAGCACCCGCUACUGUAAGAGAAGAUGAAAUCCGAACAGCCAUUGGCGUGCAUUUCACGUUGAGAAGGCCGGAGAGUAAGAAGAAGCUCAAGUCAGGAAACCUGCCACAAUU
rnacentral:ncRNA from 1 species